GUCCGCUCAUUCUCCCACGCGUGUCAUUUCAUUAAAAUCAUCGUCUUUACCCUUUGGACCAGUGUGGUUACUUGCAUUCCUCCUGUGUUUCCUUCCCUAUAUUUUUGAACCUUAACAUUUGGGGGCUUCGUCCGAGGGGGGAAGUGAGACAGGAUGGAGAAAGGUCCGAGGCGUCAGGCGCUCAGGCAUUGGUCAGUGGUCAAAGUGAGUGACAAGCCGGCAUAUAACAAAAGGAAUUUUGUUUGCAA